GGGUGCAUAGCUCAGUUGGCAGAGCAACCGCCUUUUAAGCGGUCGGUCCUAGGUUCGAAUCCUAGUGCACCCACCA
rnacentral:tRNA from 1 species